rnacentral:rRNA from 1 species
UACGUAGGUGGCAAGCGUUGUCCGGAUUUACUGGGCGUAAAGGGCGUGCAGGCGGUCUGUUAAGUGCAGGGUGAAAGCUCCCGGCUCAACUGGGAGAGGUCCUUGCAUACUGGCGGACUUGAGGGGGGUAGAGGAAAGUGGAAUUCCACGUGUAGCGGUGAAAUGCGUAGAGAUGUGGAGGAACACCAGUGGCGAAGGCGGCUCUCUGGACUGUAACUGACGCUGAGGCGCGAAAGCGUGGGGAGCAAACAGG